rnacentral:rRNA from 1 species
UGGGGAAUUUUGCACAAUGGGGGAAACCCGGAUGCAGCGACGCCGCGUGAUUUAGAAGGCCUUCGGGUUGUAAAAAUCUCUUUUACGGGAUGAAAAUGACAGUACCGUAAGAAUAAGGUCCGGCUAAAUACGUGCCAGCAGCCGCGAUAAUACGUAUGGACCGAGCGUUGUCCGGAAUCAUUGGGCGGAAAGGGUACGUAGGCGGCCUAAUAAGUUAGAAGUGAAAGAAUAUAGCUCAACUAUAUAAAGCUUUUAAAACUGUUAGGCUUGAGAGAUGAAAGGGAAAGUGGAAUUCCUAGUAUAGCGGUGAAAUGCGCAGAUAUUAGUAAGAAUAACGGUGGCUAAGGCGACUUUCUGGUCAUCAUCUGACGCUGAGGUACGAGAGCGUGGGUAGCAAGCGGG